rnacentral:ncRNA from 2 species
UCGUCCCGCCUCGUGAUCGUCUUCUCAACCUUCACCGGGCGGGCGGAAUGAGGAAGGCCCCCGCGAGGACGUGACUCGCGGGGGCCUUCU